rnacentral:tRNA from 1 species
AGGGAGAUGGCUCAGUUGGUAAAGUGCUUGCCUUGCAAGCAUGAGGACCUGAGUUCAAUCCCCAGAAACCUUC